GGGAAUGUUAUGCAGCUUUGGAGUGGCCAAACAGCAGGGCUCACGUGUGGUAGCUUGACCCAGACUGAAGGCACUGCGUGACCUGUGUAGAGCUAAGUGUGCCUUUUUGCACUGACCUGCAGUGCACCUUUUGCACUGACCUGUUUAAUUUUGGUGAUACGAAGAUGUUGGCAUCCUGAUUCCUCACUGUGACAGCGCGCUUCCAUCUGGAAAAGGGAAAACUGUGCUAUGAUGUGUAGAUUUCCUUUGAAUCUGCAGGAUUAGAGCUGCAAAAGGACACAGCCACGUGCUGCUGGAAUCGGCUUGAAGCUGAACCUUGAAUUUCAGGUAGAUUAAAAAAAGACAAUCGCUGCUGGAGGAGACUGCAGGAGAUGGAAUCUAAACCUGCUGGAGCCAAACUGACACCAAAAACAGCCAGCCUGCCACCGCUGAUUAGCAUUUCCCCAUGACCCGGACUCCGGAUGGAGGCCAAUGCAAAGUGGUUUGCCCAGCCCCGCCACAAUGCUUUCUGCAGAGAUCAACCUGGGCACCAGAUUUUACCAGAUUACCUCUAUUUACUCACAUCAGCUAAUUUGAGAGCGAACACGUUAUAUAACCCAACAUCAUCAUCCCAGUUAUAAAUGACGAAUUCCACCAUAAAGCCCGAUAAAAAUCUUUAUUGCAAUUUCACUUUUUAUAUCUUUUAGACAAAUAGGUUUUUGGCAUCAGGGACGUCUGUAUUGAUUUUCACAUCCAGGCUGAACCAUUCAUGGAGACGAGUAAAGUGGGACAUGCAUCAUAGGGUGAGUGCAGCACAAACCUGGUGGCACCAACCUCCAGCCCGAGAGAGAAGUUCCUUCUGGAUCACACGGGCUUAUUUGGGAUAUUCUGAGUGUUUCAGAAACACGAUAAGCAAGCAGUGGAAAUGAUGGAUUCGGCAACACCGAUGCAAAACUGCAAAGAGAACAGAGAGGGAAAGCAAGUUACAUUAGCAGAGAGAAUUCUACAUAAAAUACAGCGGAGCGGCUGGGGAACAGGCAGCCAAGAUGUUCAGCUGCAAGUGGAGUCCAAUUUGAUGCUCAGCAUGAGUUUAAAAGGAAGAUUUUCUCAGCUUUAAAAUAAAAGAGCAGUGUCAGACGUGGAUGGGGCAGCAAGCUGCAGUCACGGGAAUGGGUUGCCCAGGCUCAGGAAAAGUGAGAGCACUGAAAGCAGCUCGUUUUGCUGCCGUACACUUAGGGAUGUGCUCAUUGCAUCCAGGCAAAACACACGUGUAUGUCAGCACCUGGUUUGUGGAGAUCCACCACGAGUCAGUGGGAAUGUUGCCUUUGGGGGAGCAGACCUCAUUCCCUGCUGGCUGAUGGCCCUCAGUUUUUGCAGCCGUGGCCCUUUGACACACACAGAUUGCUGCCAGCCAGGACCCGAUCCUGCUGCCACUGAAAUCAAUGGAAGUUUUGUUGUUGGCUUCCAUGGGAUGAAGGAUUCAAUCCGGCAGUCGAUAGGGUUCGAGUGUCCUUUGUCUAAGUGGGGUCGUGUUAAUUCUGGAGGAUGGGCCUACAUCAUAUCCAUUAUUGGGAUUUGCAGCUGAGCAUAAAAACAGGAUUAGGGGGAAGAGAGAAACAAUCCCAACAGUGAGCGGGGAGCCCCGAGCGAGCCCCGGCCAUCAGCGAGCGUGGGGCAAAGAGAGGGGAAACCCACCGAGGAGGUUCCCCCCCUUUCUGCUCCUUCUGCAGCAAACUUUGAGUCGCCGGCUCGUUAUUAACAAUUAGCAAAGCGUCGGCAGAAGCAAUUAUUGUCACACUCACACAGAUAUUAAUCGAUGGCGUUUGUUUGCCGCUGCUUCUGUUCCCUCUGCUCCGACACCGCAGCACCACCAGCAAAUCGGGAUGCGUGGUACAUAUGCUGGUGCUCCACUUAAUAAAAAAGACACCUAUAUUUUCAGAUAAACUUUGUUAGUAAUUCAUGAGGUAAGUG
ensembl:lncRNA